UGAAACCGUGUGCUUACAAGUAGUCAGAGCCCGUUAAUGGGUGAUGGCGUGCCUUUUGUAGAAUGAACCGGCGAGUUACGAUUUGAUGCAAGGUUAAGCAGUAAAUGUGGAGCCGUAGCGAAAGCGAGUCUGAAUAGGGCGUUUAGUAUUUGGUCGUAGACCCGAAACCAGGUGAUCUACCCUUGGUCAGGUUGAAGUUCAGGUAACACUGAAUGGAGGACCGAACCGACUUACGUUGAAAAGUGAGCGGAUGAACUGAGGGUAGCGGAGAAAUUCCAAUCGAACCUGGAGAUAGCUGGUUCUCUCCGAAAUAGCUUUAGGGCUAGCCUCAAGUGAUGAUUAUUGGAGGUAGAGCACUGUUUGGACGAGGGGCCCCUCUCGGGUUACCGAAUUCAGACAAACUCCGAAUGCCAAUUAAUUUAACUUGGGAGUCAGAACAUGGGUGAUAAGGUCCGUGUUCGAAAGGGAAACAGCCCAGACCACCAGCUAAGGUCCCAAAAUAUAUGUUAAGUGGAAAAGGAUGUGGCGUUGCCCAGACAACUAGGAUGUUGGCUUAGAAGCAGCCAUCAUUUAAAGAGUGCGUAAUAGCUCACUAGUCGAGUGACACUGCGCCGAAAAUGUACCGGGGCUAAACAUAUUACCGAAGCUGUGGAUUGUCCUUUGGACAAUGGUAGGAGAGCGUUCUAAGGGCGUUGAAGCAUGAUCGUAAGGACAUGUGGAGCGCUUAGAAGUGAGAAUGCCGGUGUGAGUAGCGAAAGACGGGUGAGAAUCCCGUCCACCGAUUGACUAAGGUUUCCAGAGGAAGGCUCGUCCGCUCUGGGUUAGUCGGGUCCUAAGCUGAGGCCGACAGGCGUAGGCGAUGGAUAACAGGUUGAUAUUCCUGUACCACCUAUAAUCGUUUUAAUCGAUGGGGGGACGCAGUAGGAUAGGCGAAGCGUGCGAUUGGAUUGCACGUCUAAGCAGUAAGGCUGAGUAUUAGGCAAAUCCGGUACUCGUUAAGGCUGAGCUGUGAUGGGGAGAAGACAUUGUGUCUUCGAGUCGUUGAUUUCACACUGCCGAGAAAAGCCUCUAGAUAGAAAAUAGGUGCCCGUACCGCAAACCGACACAGGUAGUCAAGAUGAGAAUUCUAAGGUGAGCGAGCGAACUCUCGUUAAGGAACUCGGCAAAAUGACCCCGUAACUUCGGGAGAAGGGGUGCUCUUUAGGGUUAACGCCCAGAAGAGCCGCAGUGAAUAGGCCCAAGCGACUGUUUAUCAAAAACACAGGUCUCUGCUAAACCGUAAGGUGAUGUAUAGGGGCUGACGCCUGCCCGGUGCUGGAAGGUUAAGAGGAGUGGUUAGCUUCUGCGAAGCUACGAAUCGAAGCCCCAGUAAACGGCGGCCGUAACUAUAACGGUCCUAAGGUAGCGAAAUUCCUUGUCGGGUAAGUUCCGACCCGCACGAAAGGCGUAACGAUUUGGGCACUGUCUCAACGAGAGACUCGGUGAAAUCAUAGUACCUGUGAAGAUGCAGGUUACCCGCGACAGGACGGAAAGACCCCGUGGAGCUUUACUGUAGCCUGAUAUUGAAAUUCGGCACAGC
rnacentral:rRNA from 1 species